UGGGUUGGUCGCAAGACUCAGGUUCAUCAUGGGCGGGGAAGUUCCCC
rnacentral:ncRNA from 1 species